rnacentral:lncRNA from 1 species
CGGGGAUCCAGGCUGUCCAGGAGAUGGGCAGCGGGAGCUGAGGGCGGCCGGCUCCCGGGCCGCUGCGGGGAGGCUGAGUGCCACCCCCGCUACUCAGUCCGCGGGGCUGGGAUGAAGCUUUCUGGCAAGGAGUUGUGAGUUGGUGCGUGUCACUCUCCACUGGGCGGCGGGGCUCCUCCUAGAGGAAAAUAUUGGUAGUUGCGGGAGACCUCCCUCCUCUCCACCCACCGGGUUCCCCCAAAGAAGUAUCUAGAAGUCCUCAACUUCUGUACAUUCAAAGAGAGCAGUGCACCUCCUGCAGGUAUGGGAAGAAGUCCCUUGGAAAGUGUGAUGAGUCUACUAGAUUUUACCGGUCUAGUUGGUUUUCAAGCUCCUGCUCACUGGGAUUCAGCAUAAAGGACAUUCCCAGUCCGAGAGGUUAAAAAAAAAUGAAGACAAAGCAGGCACAGAGUACAAAGGUACAAAAGUCCAGCCCCGGGCCGUCGAGCUGUCUCAUCUGGAGGAACAACGGGUCACGUGGUCUUCUUACUAUUUGCUUUGUACUGACAGCUAGUUAAGAUCUGUGACAAAGAUGAAAUUAUCCUCCUUUAACCAACAGGAAGUCAUGAAGAGACACAAAAACAAACACAGCAACAACAACAACAACAACAAAAACCAGACUGAUCACAUAAAGGGAAAAAAUUUAGAGUCCGGAUGGGGACUCAGCUUUUUUGUAUCACCUUUAUUUUGGGGACUCUUCCUUCAGUCUCUCAAGGUCUUGGCAUCUAGUAUUGUGUCCACCUCAUUUCAAGCCACCAGCCCACCAGCCUCUAUGUGUGGCAAGAACUAAAAUUGUCCUCUAAUUCCUAGGCACCAAAGUAACUAACAGUAGUGACCAGGGGGGACAGGAGAGAUUCCUCUAUUUUGCCUUUAGUAGUACAGGUCUUGUGCAGGCAACCCACACAGGUACAGACAGAAACUAAUUAUCAUAGUCUCCAUAUUUGUUAAGUUUGAGCUAGUGAGUUGUGGAGAAUGUGUUUCAUCAUCUUGCUUUGAGAAAUAAACAUUCAUAAUGAUGUAGAGA